rnacentral:ncRNA from 1 species
UGUCUCCUCCACCCUCCGAAAAGGUGGAUUAGCCUCCGGGUCGCAAGACCCGGGGGCUUUUUUC